rnacentral:rRNA from 1 species
AUGGUGAAGCCGCGAAUAGCUCAUUACAACAGCCAUAGUUUAUUGGAUCUUCAAUUCCUACUUGGAUACCUGUGGUAAUUCUAGAGCUAAUACAUGCAAAUAAGCUCCAACCUCAGGGCGGAGUGCAUUUAUUAGAACAAAACCAAUCGGCUUUGCCGUUGUUUGGUGAAUCUGAAUAACUCAGCUGAUCGCAUGGUCCUUGCACCGGCGAUGUAUCUUUCAAGUGUCUGCCUUAUCAACUUUCGAUGGUAGUUUACACGCCUACCAUGGUUGUAACGGGUAACGGAGAAUAAGGGUUCGACUCCGGAGAGGGAGCCUGAGAAAUGGCUACCACAUCCAAGGAAGGCAGCAGGCGCGCAAAUUACCCACUCUCAGAUCGAGGAGGUAGUGACGAAAAAUAACGAGAUGGUUCUCUAUGAGGUCCAUCAUCGGAAUGGGUACAAUUUAAACCCUUUAACGAGGAUCUAUUGGAGGGCAAGUCUGGUGCCAGCAGCCGCGGUAAUUCCAGCUCCAAUAGCGUAUAUAAAGUUGUUGC